rnacentral:rRNA from 1 species
CCUACGGGGGGCAGCAGUGAGGAAUAUUGGUCAAUGGGCGCGAGCCUGAACCAGCCAAGUAGCGUGAAGGAUGACUGCUCUACGGAUUGUAAACCUCUUUUAUAAGGGAAUAAAGUGUGGCACGUGUGCUUUUUUGUAUGUACUUUAUGAAUAAGGAUCGGCUAACUCCGUGCCAGCAGCCGCGGUAAUACGGAGGAUCCGAGCGUUAUCCGGAUUUAUUGGGUUUAAAGGGUGCGUAGACGGGCUUUUAAGUCAGUUGUGAAAGUCUGUGGCUCAACCGUAUAAUUGCAAUUGAUACUGGCAGUCUUGAGUAUGUUUGAGGUAGGCGGAAUGCGUGGUGUAGCGGUGAAAUGCUUAGAUAUCACGAAGAACCCCGAUUGCGAAGGCAGCUUACCAAGC